rnacentral:rRNA from 1 species
AUUGAACGCUGGCGGCAGGCCUAACACAUGCAAGUCGGGCGGUAGAGAGAAGCUUGCUUCUCUUGAGAGCGGCGGACGGGUGAGUAAUGCCUAGGAAUCUGCCUGGUAGUGGGGGAUAACGUUCGGAAACGGACGCUAAUACCGCAUACGUCCUACGGGAGAAAGCAGGGGACCUUCGGGCCUUGCGCUAUCAGAUGAGCCUAGGUCGGAUUAGCUAGUUGGUGAGGUAAUGGCUCACCAAGGCGACGAUCCGUAACUGGUCUGAGAGGAUGAUCAGUCACACUGGAACUGAGACACGGUCCAGACUCCUACGGGAGGCAGCAGUGGGGAAUAUUGGACAAUGGGCGAAAGCCUGAUCCAGCCAUGCUGCGUGUGUGAAGAAGGUCUUCGGAUUGUAAAGCACUUUAAGUUGGGAGGAAGGGUUGUAGAUUAAUACUCUGCAAUUUUGACGUUACCGACAGAAUAAGCACCGGCUAACUCUGUGCCAGCAGCCGCGGUAAUACAGAGGGUGCAAGCGUUAAUCGGAAUUACUGGGCGUAAAGCGCGCGUAGGUGGUUUGUUAAGUUGGAUGUGAAAUCCCCGGGCUCAACCUGGGAACUGCGUUCAAAACUGACUGACUAGAGUAUGGUAGAGGGUGGUGGAAUUUCCCGUGUAGCGGUGAAAUGCGUAGAUAUAGGAAGGAACACCAGUGGCGAAGGCGACCACCUGGACUAAUACUGACACUGAGGUGCGAAAGCGUGGGGAGCAAACAGG